GGUGAAAAGCACCCCGGAAGGGGAGUGAAAUAGAACCUGAAACCGUGUGCUUACAAGUAGUCAGAGCCCGUUAAUGGGUGAUGGCGUGCCUUUUGUAGAAUGAACCGGCGAGUUACGAUUUGAUGCAAGGUUAAGCAGUAAAUGUGGAGCCGUAGCGAAAGCGAGUCUGAAUAGGGCGUUUAGUAUUUGGUCGUAGACCCGAAACCAGGUGAUCUACCCUUGGUCAGGUUGAAGUUCAGGUAACACUGAAUGGAGGACCGAACCGACUUACGUUGAAAAGUGAGCGGAUGAACUGAGGGUAGCGGAGAAAUUCCAAUCGAACCUGGAGAUAGCUGGUUCUCUCCGAAAUAGCUUUAGGGCUAGCCUCAAGUGAUGAUUAUUGGAGGUAGAGCACUGUUUGGACGAGGGGCCCCUCUCGGGUUACCGAAUUCAGACAAACUCCGAAUGCCAAUUAAUUUAACU
rnacentral:rRNA from 1 species